UACGUAGGUGACAAGCGUUGUCCGGAUUUAUUGGGCGUAAAGAGCUCGUAGGCGGUUCGAUAAGUCGGGUGUGAAACCUCCAGGCUCAACCUGGAGACGCCACCCGAUACUGUCGUGACUAGAGUCCAGUAGGGGAGCGUGGAAUUCCUGGUGUAGCGGUGAAAUGCGCAGAUAUCAGGAGGAACACCAGCGGCGAAGGCGGCGCUCUGGGCUGGCACUGACGCUGAGGAGCGAAAGCGUGGGUAGCGAACAGG
rnacentral:rRNA from 1 species